rnacentral:rRNA from 1 species
AGCAGCCGCGGUAAUUCCAGCUCCAAUAGCGUAUAUUAAAGUUGUUGCAGUUAAAAAGCUCGUAGUUGAAUUUCGAGACCGGUUUACUGGUCGUGCUUUUGUACGUACUGGUAUUAUUGGUUUCUCCUUUCUGACGAAUCUUAAUGCCAUUAAUUUGGUGUUUUGGGGAAUCAGGACUGUUACUUUGAAAAAAUUAGAGUGUUUAAAGCAGGCUCGCGCUUGAAUACAUUAGCAUGGAAUAACGAAAUAGGACGUUUGAUUUUAUUUUGUUGGUUUCUAGGAUCGACGUAAUGAUUAAUAGGGAUAGUUGGGGGCAUUAGUAUUCAAUUGUCAGAGGUGAAAUUCUUGGAUUUAUUGAAGACUAACUACUGCGAAAGCAUUUGCCAAGGAUGUUUUCAUUAAUCAAGAACGAAAGUUAGGGGAUCGAAGACGAUCAGAUACCGUCGUAGUCUUAACCAUAAACUAUGCCGACUAGGGAUCGGGAUGAUGUUAAUUUUUUAAUGUACUCAUUCGGCGCCUU